rnacentral:rRNA from 1 species
AAUGGCAGGUCAGCAUACUGCCGUGAAUACGUUCCCGGGCCUUGUACACACCGCCCGUCACACCAUGAGAGUUGGGGAUACCCAAAGCCCGUGAGCCAACUUAUAAGAGGCAGCGGUCUAAGGUAGAAUCAAUGAUUGGGGUGAAGUCGUAACAAGGUACC